rnacentral:rRNA from 1 species
GCUUACGGCCAUACCACCUUAGGCACGCCCGAUCUCGUCUGAUCUCGGAAGCUAAGCAGGGUCGGGCCUGGUCAGUACUUGGAUGGGUGACCGCCUGGGAAUACCAGGUGCUGUAAGCA